UAGGCCAGGGAGGGGGAUGGGCAGACCACACUGCUUUCAGCUGCCUACUUAAAAACACUUCCCUCUGGGCAGAACUCCUUUCUACACAGACAUUGUCAGCCCCGGACCACAGUUGCAGACUCCAUCCUUCCUAGAGAAUCCUGCCAGACUCAGCAACAUGUUUGCCAGGACCCUCUCCACUCUUGCCAGGCUCUACCUCCUGGGCAUGUUCCUCUCCAUUCUCCCAGGUUCCCAAGCCCAGGUGCGGCUAGUGGAGACAGGAGGAAAAGUCACACAUGAAGGCCAGUCUGUGACCCUGACCUGCAAGGCCUCUGGCUUUAACUUCAAGGAGUAUUCCAUGUCCUGGCACUGGAGCUCAACGGAGAGCCUCAGGGAGCUGGUGGCCAGCAUCAACUGGUAUACUGGCAAUUACAAAGAGUACAACCCCAGAAUUAAAGGCAGGGCUUCCAUCGAGAGGGACAAUGUGAACAAAAUUGUCUCUCUGACCUUGAGCCCGCUUCAAAAGGAGGACUCAGGCACAUACUACUGUGCCAGACUCACUCUGCUAGAGCCCAGGCAGAGACCUUGA